CCCGCGGUGGUCCCGGGGGCGGUGGUGCCGCCUCCGGGGGAGGCGGUGGCGUCGCCGUUCUUCCCGGUGCCGUGGGA
rnacentral:tRNA from 2 species